rnacentral:rRNA from 1 species
CGCGUAGGCGGUCUCUUAAGUCAGGUGUGAAAGCCCGAGGCUCAACCUCGGAAGUGCACUUGAAACUAAGGGACUUGAGUAUGGGAGAGGGAAGUGGAAUUCCUGGUGUAGCGGUGAAAUGCGUGGAUAUCAGGAGGAACACCGGUGGCGAAGGCGACUUCCUGGACCAAUACUGACGCUGAGGCGCGAAGGCGUGGGGAGCGAACA